rnacentral:SRP_RNA from 2 species
GCUGGGUGUAGUGGUGCGCACCUGUAGUCCCAGCUACUUGGGAAGCUGAGACAGGAGAAUUGCUUGAACCCAGGAGGUGGAGGUUGCAGUGAGCUGAGAUCGCACCACUGCACUCCAGCCUGGGCAACAGAGUAAGACUCUGUCUCAA